GAUGAAGAACUCAGCGAAAUGCGAUAAGUAAUGUGAAUUGCAGAAUUCAGUGAAUCAUCGAAUCUUUGAACGCACAUUGCGCCCCCUGGUAUUCCGGGGGGCAUGCCUGUACGAGCGUCAUUGCUGCCCUCAAGCACGGCUUGUGUGUUGGGCCUCCGUCCUCCUCCCGGGGGACGGGCCCGAAAGGCAGCGGCGGCACCGCGUCCGGUCCUCGAGCGUAUGGGGCUUCGUCACCCGCUCUUGUAGGCCCGGCCGGCGCUUGCCGACACAUCAAUCUUUUUUCCAGGUUGACCUCGGAUCAGGUAGGGAUACCCGCUGAACUUAAGCAUAUCAAUAAGCGGAGGA
rnacentral:misc_RNA from 1 species